GCUCCGGCUCCGCCGUCCCUCUCAUUGGGCCGGUGUGCCAGGCCGCCGCCAGCGCCUGGAGAAGCGUGGCACCGAAGGACGUGGCGGGGGUGGACUCAGUGGUCCUGGCUGCCUUUCCCAGCCUUGUGCUCCACGAGCCAGGGCUGAGAACAGCUGUGCCACCACCCGCAAAGCAAAGGCCAGCCACUGCCCAAAGCUCUGCAGCGUCCACUGAAGCAGUGCCCCUGUGAUUUACCUGCGGCACAGAGAUGCAAAUCAAGCAGGAAGACUGAUUACAUCUAACCCUAGUAAAGGCACUAACGCUAUUUCCAAAGCAGCCAAGGGAAAUUUGUACUGCUUAGGAGAGCCAUCGCAAUGAUCUGCAUGAGCCAGAG
ensembl:lncRNA